CGUCGUCACGGAUCUGCCUCAGCAGCUCACUGUCCUCUGCAAAGGACUGGGGGUCGGGGUCGCGACCCUUGUCGGUACGAAAUUUUAACAAAACUGGAAGACGCAGAGAAGACAGAGGAAGCCGGAAGCAAAAUUGGAAAGACUUUCUCCACUGGAUCAUUUUAUAACUAACUUCAGAACUGCACUGUUUGGUUGCACAUCUUUGAGUCUCCCACAUUGGGAGGCUCACGUUUUUAAAAAGUUGCACUUCAAUAUUUCCAAACUGCAGCCCAUAAUAAUUUGAGAGUCACUUCCUGUGCUUACACGCUGGCUGUCUUGCGGUGUAGGUGUCGUGCUGUUCUCUGUUCUGCGCAGUGCACAUGACUGGCCAUGGACAGCCUGUGAUGGAAACUCGCACAACGUUGGGGACGGUGCAGGUGACAGGAGGCACCAUAACAACGCUAAUGAGAAGGUCGUCGCUCACCGAAAACAGGAAGCCUUUUGUUAAUGGAUGAGAAGGUUCCUUUGGACGGACGGCGCCCAGCGUUCCACGGCUCGUGUGAUUAUUCAUGUGGAACAGUUGUGUAGCUCCCGACCCGGCCUUCUUUAAGACCACCGCUCGUCUUGGUGGAACCUGACAUUUAACUCUUCACCGUUCGCUCUGUCAUGACAUUUAACAAACUUCAUGGACUGACUUUCCGUGCACGUGUUCGCUGGCUAGACUGGAGUCAGUCGCUUUGCAUGUUGAUGGUAUGUGUUUCAGUCUCGCCGAUGGGCUCCUACGCGUUUCAGUUUCAAAUUUCUAGACUUUUUUAGAAGUCUCAGGAUUCUUUGUGACAUUUCAUCAAUUCCCUGCAGGAAACGUCUGCUUGUGUCCCACCUCCUACACAGAAGUGUCUCAAGUCAAACACCAUCAUCAGCCCUCCAACAGCCACGUCUUUGCCUCAUACAAACGCCCGUCUGGGAUUUUUCGUCUAAAUGAAAUUAUAACAGCAAAAUAAAUACUAUUAAAUUUAGUGAAGAUGUUACCGUGAAGCAGGAAGUAAUCCACAGGCGUGCGCUUCAGACUGGCUUUGGCCUGGUCACUGGUCCAGUCCACCUCCAGAGCCUCCUUCAGAGAGCAGAAAGCCACCGUCUGUUGGUUGGAGAUUAAAGCAGGAGUAGAUUUAUUUACCUGACUACGUUUAAGACAGAUGUGAAGCAAAUUCAGGCAAUAUUUUGAGUAGAUUUUGUGACCUUUGUCAAUAACUUAAAGUUAAAAGAGUUAAACAAAACUGAAACGGCACUGAAGAAAGCGCAUUUUCUUUGGGCUUUAAAGAAAAACAAAAAAAAACAGAUUCACAAAUUGUAAUUUUCUCUUAUCUUUUUAGUAGAUUAAGUCCAGCCUCUGCUUAUGGGCCAGACGGGGGACAUGCAUGGUGACGGCUCCUCGGGCUGUGAAGGACCUACCUUCUUCACCAUGGUGGUCUCAUUGGGGUCCACUUUGGCUUUCUUCACUUCUGGCCCAUCGUUGGCUUCUCCACUGGGUUUCACUACUUUGGGUUUCUCCCUGAAACCAGUAAAACAUCAAACGUCAACCCAAGCGUCGUCAGUGCCAUUCAGUUUUGCUGCAGUUGGAAAAGCAGCAGAAACUACAGGAAGAACAGAAAGUCUAGGUUCUAGUUCAUUCAAUCCCUAUUCUGUCUCUUUGAUUGAACUUUGUUCUGUGCAUUCAUUAUUUUUGCUUUAGGAACGUAACGCUGAGACAUGCUAAAAGCACAGAACCCGUGAGGCUUCACGGCUUCCUGCCUGCGAGGCUGCAGAUCUGUGUGUGUGACACUGUUUAAACCAGCACUGAUGUGAGAAGCCAUCUCUCCAGAUAAAACUUCAACACAUGAAUUUGUCAGCCACACUCACUCAACGUAGUUGUGCUCCUGGCCGAGGUUGCAGAACAUGUAACCAUAGUAACCGUAGACAUCCCCACAGAAGACCUUGAUGCUGCGCUGAGAACAGAGCUGGUCGACCCGAACCAUCAGAUCCCGGGAGCAGCCUGUCAGACACACCUGAGGGAGGAAGAACAGUCACAGGCUUGGUUGCUUUUAUGCAUCCUCUUCAUUUAACCUGGUAAAAUCUAAAUUAAAAGCAGCUUCGAAGAAAAGAUCAGGCAACUAUUGAUGAAGCCCUAAAUAAGCCAGGAAUAAUACUAAAAUGUCCUAAGGUUUCAGACUGCAAAUUCGCCCGUGAGACAUCCGAAGAAGUCCAAGUCCAUUCUGUAGGCUGGAAACAGACUGCAGAUUUGUUCCCAAAGCAUUGAAGCCAUCACAUAACGUAUCUCACUACAGUACAAUUCCAGCUCCAGCAUAAACUAAACAGUUUCAGCUCAACAAAACUGAGUGAAAGCAAAAUAAUGGUGGACUAGACAGGUUUACGUCAUAAAGUGGCUACAGAGUUAAUUUACUGUGACAAGUCCAUGUAAUCAGGAACCAGAAGUGGAAGUGCUGCUUUAAUUUAAUGAAGAACCUGAAGCUCAUAUGACUUGUGAGACUAAAGAAAGGCUGUUGCUUCCUGUUCUGCACGUUAGCCUGGUUGUCAGUGCAUGGGGACACAUUCUCUUUCCAUUUCUAUCACCUGGGACUCGUCUAGAAACUCACAUAGGUUCUGCUACAUUGUAUUUGCAGCUUCAGUUAUUUAGUUUGUGUUUCUUCCAGUAAACUGGGCUCAGUGCAAAGAUUAACUGAAGGCGUGGUGCAACGGUCCAGGCUGUUUGUGGGCCACGUGUGUGCGGCGUGUGUGAGAGUUCCACGGGCAGAAUGGCUUCCACCCACCGUCCACACACCGUCCACACACCGUCCACCCACCGUCCACGCACACGCACACGCAUACGCACACGCACACGCACACGCACACGCACACGACUUGCAGAAAAACAAAGUGACAGUCGCUGGUCAGCAGCCAGAUGAACUGAGACACAGCGUUUCCAGCACAUCAGGGUGAGCUGCUGUUUGCUGUAAACACUGGUCCAAGGGCUGGGUCCACCUUAUCCUGCUGACCUAGUCCAGUACACCCAAAGCAGCCUCAGCUCCCUGAUAAGGCUGAUACUGCAACAGGCACCAUCUUAAGAACAUAUGCAGACUCAGUCGCUCUCUUCAGUAUUAAUGUUUAUUUUUCAUACAAAGUGCAAAAAAGAGGAAGUACGAAACAUCAGCCUUGAACUUCACCUUUUUCCUACCUAGAAAUAAUUUGCAAACAUUUGUAUCAAUGUAACGUGUGAUUAAACCACAAGAAAGUGGAGAGAACCAGGGAAACUGGUGUGGAAACAAUUAUCACUAAUUCCAUCAUGACCCAACAGAUCAAUAAAUCUCACAGGCUUUGAUUCCUACACAAAUACUGAAUGAGAUGUUUCCAGCUCCUUCAGAUGUGUAACUUCAAAUCCAUCAGCUAUUGACUUUACGUGCAUUUUUCGGUUCCUUCCUGCAACAGAGUCAAAUGAAUAAUUGAAACAAACAUGUUUCCUCGUCAGCUGCACUCUGCAAGUACCCAGAUGGACCGUGUGUGUGUUUCUACUGUAUUAAAGCCAUCAGUCAGUAAUUAGGCCUCGUACCAACCGCUCUACUUUAAUCACCCUCCAUCUUCCUGCUGAGCUUCACACAGAUACAUCCGUGGAAGCAGAUAAAAGCGAGGAUCCACAGCAGAAGCAGGGGGUGGAGAGCGACGCAGAAAGCCCCACUCUGCUCUUUAAUUCUUAUUUUAUCUCCAGCUUUUCAAAUUGUGUUGCAUUCUUCUCUCUGAACCCUUUUAUCGUCUCCACGCUGUCCUACUAACGUUCAUCUCUUUCCGUCCUUGCUUCUCUUCAUCAUCCCUCCCUCAUCGCUCCUCCUCCUUCCUGACCCUCAGUUAGUUCCCCCAGAGGGAGGAAGACUGUCGGCAAUUCAGACAACAGAAGGAAAAAGAAUCUGUGUUGUUUCUCUGAUGUAUGUGGAAAUGAGUGCUAAAUGCUGAGGCAACUGUCACUGUGUUAACAAAUUAAAACCAACCUUCAACUCA